CGUCUCGCCCGCCGCCCCCCUCCUCCUCCCGGGGCAUCCCGGCCGGAAUCAGCCUGCAAACAGCGUCGGGAAAGGAUCCGAUUUUAUCCGCCUCUGCGAGCAUCCAGCGUGAUCUGGGAUGCUGAAAUGACAGACAAACAAAUAGCCGUUGUGUAAGGGUGUAUUUCAGGCGUUUCUAGUCGGAAACGAAGCACGAAUCUCGCUCUAUUUUAAUCCUGCCCAGGGUCUUCUCGGAGCGGGGCCGAGGCCGGCGCUGCGGAGUUAAGAAUGAAAGCCUAUUUUUAGCGGGUGCCGCGGUGAGGUCAAUAUUGAUGUGGUCAUGCCAACAGUAGUUUUGUCGUCCUCUUCAUGCUGUGCUCCCUGGUGGGUGAACCCUGGCACUAAUGCAGUCUGUCCUCUUCUGAACCCAGGAAACCUGGCUGCGCGAGCGUGGUUCCCAAGCUCUUCACGCAGGUUUCCCGUGUCAGAUUUAUGAAUGAAGAACCUGGAGGUGGCUGAUCCUGGGAGUUCCUUCUUGCAUCCUGCUUGGUCUCGUGAACGCGUACGGUCUGAGUCCAUCCAAAGCAAAACGUGAGAAAGGUGAAGCAUCCCUAGCAGAAGGCUGACCAGGUUCUGUGACUCGAUACAUAUGUUAAUGAACAUCAGGUGGAAAAAAACGUGGGCAUUCAGAUUAAGGACUGGAGUAAUAGUUAGAAAAGAAUGGGCCCUCGUUACCAAGCACAAAAACGUACCUUCAGGAGAAAGGCUCCCUGGCAUAGCAGGUGGGAUGGGAUAUCUGGGAGCAUGUUUAAGGACUGAGUACCAUUUCCAGGCAAAGGAAGUACUCUGUGCAAGCAAGAGCUGCAAAGUCAUUCCCUAAAUGAGACAGCGAGGAGGGGAAAAAAAAAAAGAAUCAAGGACUGAGUGCCAGAGUGAGAACAGACAGCAGAGGAGGAAUAAUGGGUGAGAGAAAGCUAAAGAGAAGACUCUGAAGGAUGAUAGCUCUUCUGGAUGAAAAGGCUGACUUGAAAUAAUUCAGGCUGUUCCUGCUCUGUGGUGCUCCUGGGGAAGCACCUGGCUUAAGGCAAUUUAUCCAGCUGUCAGCUUGUUUUCACACAGACAAUAAAUGCAUCCUGGGAUUGUGACUUCAGCUAGGCACAGGAUGGUUUUCCCAUCUCGUGAUUAUUUUUGAAAUUUCUGAAGUUUUUCCCGUGUUGCCUUGGGACAAACCUUUUCCCUUUUUCCCCACUGAGAACCGAGCGUGGGGAAGAAGAGAAGCUGAGCAGGGAGACUAGCUGAAGCUAAGGCAUCCAGCAGCGUCACAGCCAGGUGACUGUGCCCCAUACUCUGCAACUACAGACUCAUAACACACUCGACAAAACCACUGUAGGUUUUGUCCAUUUUCCUGUGAGCUGUUAAGGUUUAAAUCAAUUGGCACUCAUUUGCUUUCAGUAAAGUUUUCUAGUUGUGAUUCCAGCUGCAUCUGUAUUUGAAUUCCCCUUUAUUUUGCUCUCCUGUUACUUUGAUUUGAUGAAGAGUUGUUCCCAUCCUAUUUUUCCUUCCAGCUUUGUAUAAUUUUGUUGCCAAGAGUCCCACUCGCACAUGUAACUGCAGUCCAGAAGCAUCCUAAAUAAUCACUGGAGCACACCAAAAGUCAGCUAGUUGGACUAAUACGACUAUUUGGUGUGGCCUCUCCUGUAGGCAUAACGUAGCUGAAUUUCUAUAUGACUAAGCACAUUGGCUGUGGCGUUUGAGCGUACCUUUAGAGCACUGCUCCAUAUUUGUCUUUCCUUCCUCGGUUCAUCUUGGUUGGUUAUAAACUCUGAUCAAAAAAAAAAAAAAAAAAAAAAAAGAAAAGAAGUGGGUUUAUAGGCGAUGUGCUGACAAGACAACUGCUAUGGAUGGUAAUAAAGUUGUGUAGCUCACAAUGUAGCCUCAUAUUGGAAAGAUAUUUGUCACUAGAUUUUGCUUGUCAUAUGCAGAGAUGACAUGCAGAUCUCUCCUCUGACUGACUGAGAGUCAUUCCGAGAUGCAUCCACCCACAAAAACCACAGACAUGCUGCUUUACUCAAACCUUUACUUUAACCACUACUUUGUGAUGCAAAACUGGUGGAGUUUUUGGUACUUUUUGUGAAAAAUGAAAUCUUUAGAGGGGUUUUCCAGCAUCCUUGCUGGUUACUAAAAACAAAUCAACAUUAGCCUACUGGAUGGGACAAUUCAGUUUACUUGUGGGUGGUUUUGACAUUCAAAUUAAAAUGUUUAGUCUGGAAGAAGGUUGAAAAGGUAGUAAAUAAAAAGUUAGACACAGAAGUACUGCACCUCUCUUGAAGUUAUCACUUAUCUCACAGUUAAAAUGGGAGCUUCACUUUAGUGGAGUUUUUGUCCUGGUUUCACUCCAAAUAUCAACAUCUUCUACUGACCAAGCUGAAAGGUUAACAACAUGGGGUCAGUCUGUUUGUAAGAGCAAAUACGCCACGUUAACCAUAAAGGUUACACUAUUAACUGUUCAGAGCCAGGAAACUCACAGUUUAAGACUGGACUUCCACCACAGCAUUUGAGAGUCCCGUCAUGUACGCUCAAAACAACGUGGGCUCCAGUUAGAACAAAGAGCCCACACAACGUUCAUCGUUAGGCUUAUGCCAAUGGCGUGUGCCUGCAGCAGCAGCUACCUGAAUGCAGUGCCUUGGAUAUUUUGACACUGGCAGACUUCAUAGGCAUCAUUUUAACACCUCGCUUGGGGCUAUCAUAUCGCUGCCUGGAGAGAAAUUGUAAGUGGGUCUGCAGGAGUACAAAGAACACAAAUGGCAAUGUCUUCAGAUGCUUAUGUUGAAAACGUAAAAGGGAAAGUACUCCAAAUAAGUUUCUCUUGUUCAGAAAUACAAUGGGCAAUUUAAAAAACCUACUAAGUAUGUGUGUAGGAGCAUUUCCCAUUCUGGGAGACAAGUUGAAUUGUUAUAUAGAGCUAUAUUAUGACUUUCCUGACAAAUUAUCAAUCAAGACUCCAUUAUGUAACGAGGUAUCCAUCACACGCGUCCUAUUGAGAGUCCCUGCCACGAGCAUGUAGACUGUAAUCCGGGCUCCUUUGUCCUGCCCUGUGCCAAUUUGCUGUAGAAUUGAGGACAAGGCUAGAAUUUGUCAUCGUAACAGUCUUACGACCACAGCGUUACAGCUGUGCUUUCUGAACAGUUAUUUGCAUUGCCUUGAUUAGCAUGUCACCUGCUUCAUUAGUGAAGAAAAUCCUCAUCCACAGAUUCAGCCAUUCAUGCAAAUUGAAAAAUACACGGAGAUCCUUCCCCCCUAGGACUUUCCAUUAUUAGUAAAAUUGGUAGAUUCUUUUUGUUCCUUCCUCUUCUGAAGGUCACUUUCAUUUUCACCUCAGAAUGAAAGUUCUCAUUUAAAAGACAAAAUAAUCAUAUUCCCAAACUUUAAAAUACAGGAAUCCUGCUUAAAAAUUUUUUUUUCAAGCUGAAAAAUGUCAGAUGCAUGUAAGACAGAGGUAGAAACUGAAGUUUUAAUCUAAUUCUUAAACUGACUCCCAUCUGCAAGGGUCAUUGAAUCAUUAAUUUUAUUGGAGGUCAAGAAAGUGUUUUCACAGUUAGAAAGUUUCCUGCAGUGUAGGACCGAAGUCUCCCGGGCUCUAAGCGGAACGGUUUCUUCCCUUAUAUCCCCAGUGAUCAUUAAGAACAGAUUGUCAUCGCGUUCUCUCUGAUAACCUAUUGGAAAGCUUAUUUCCUUUCUAUUCCUUUCUCUGUCCUCU